rnacentral:sRNA from 1 species
CGAAUCGCCCUUACUCCUACGGGAGGCAGCAGUGGGGAAUUUUCCGCAAUGGGCGAAAGCCUGACGGAGCGAUACCGCGUGAGGGAGGAAGGCUCUUGGGUUGUAAACCUCUUUUCUCAGGGAAGAAAAAAAUGACGGUACCUGAGGAAUAAGCAUCGGCUAACUCCGUGCCAGCAGCCGCGGUAAUACGGAGGAUGCAAGCGUUAUCCGGAAUGAUUGGGCGUAAAGGGUCCGCAGGUGGCAUUGAAAGUCUGCUGUUAAAGAGUUUGGCUCAACCAAAUAAAAGCAGUGGAAACUACAAAGCUAGAGUUUGGUCGGGGCAGAGGGAAUUCCUGGUGUAGCGGAGAAAUGCGUAGAUAUCAGGAAGAACACCAGUGGCGAAGGCGCUCUGCUAGGCCGAGACUGACACUGAGGGACGAAAGCUAGGGGAGCGAAUGGGAUUAGAUACCCCAGUAGUCCUAGCCGUAAACGAUGGAUACUAGGCGUAGCUCGUAUCGACCCGAGCUGUGCCGGAGCUAACGCGUUAAGUAUCCCGCCUGGGGAGUACGCAGGCAACUGUGAAACUCAAAGGAAUUGACGGGGGCCCGCACAAGCGGUGGAGUAUGUGGUUUAAUUCGAUGCAACGCGAAGAACCUUACCAAGGCUUGACAUGUCACGAAUCCUGUGGAAACAUAGGAGUGCCUUAGGGAGCGUGAACACAGGUGGUGCAUGGCUGUCGUCAGCUCGUGUCGUGAGAUGUAGGGUUAAGUCCCGCAACGAGCGCAACCCUCGUUUUUAGUUGCCAGCAUUAAGUUGAGCACUCUAGAGAGACUGCCGGUGACAAACCGGAGGAAGGUGGGGAUGACGUCAAGUCAGCAUGCCCCUUACGUCUUGGGCUACACACGUACUACAAUGCUACGGACAAAGGGCAGCUACACAGCGAUGUGAUGCGAAUCUCGUAAACCGUAGCUCAGUUCAGAUCGAAGGCUGCAACUCGCCUUCGUGAAGGAGGAAUCGCUAGUAAUUGCAGGUCAGCAUACUGCAGUGAAUUCGUUCCCGGGCCUUGUACACACCGCCCGUCACACCAUGGAAGUUGGUCACGCCCGAAGUCGUUACCCCAACCGAGAGGAGGGGGAUGCCUAAGGUAGGACUGAUGACUGGGGUGAAGUCGUAACAAGGUAGCCGUACCGGAAGGUGUGGCUGGAUCACCUCCUUUUAGGGAGACCUAAUCCAUUUAGAAAUUUCCCAGCAAUUUUCAUUGCUAGGAACUAAAUUGGUCUAACCUAGGUCGGUCGCAGACUUGAAGUAAAGCUUUCAAACUAUGAUUUGGUUCGAUAAGGGCUAUUAGCUCAGGUGGUUAGAGCGCACCCCUGAUAAGGGUGAGGUCCCUGGUUCGAGUCCAGGAUGGCCCACCUGAAGCAAGUCAAAAGUGAAAAGUCAAAGGUCAAAGGUAUAUUCCUUUUGAAUUUUGCCUUUUGAAUUUUGAAUUGUUUCUGGGGGUUUAGCUCAGUUGGUAGAGCGCCUGCUUUGCAAGCAGGAUGUCAGCGGUUCGAGUCCGCUAACCUCCACAUUGGAAAAAAAACAGCACCUAACUAUAAAAGUUAGACUGCUGGGUGAAAUUCCAGCCAGAACCUUGAAAACUGCAUAAGAGAACGAGAAAAGCAGGCAGACACAGACAUGAGAGUGUUUCGUGAAAGCAAAGAAAAAUUGUGGUCAAGCUAAUAAGGGCUAAUGGUGGAUACCUWGGCACACAGAGGCGADG